rfam:Colletotrichum higginsianum, IMI 349063, WGS project CACQ02000000 data, contig: cont1.3800
GCCUUGUUGGCUAAGUGGUAUAGCGUCUCACUAGUACCCUAGUGACAUGAGAAGAUCGGCGGUUCGAUUCCGCCACGAGGCA